GAACCCCUUUCGUUAUCGGCUCCGGAAUCACGAAACGGGCGAUACUAGACAACACCUCGCUGCUGCUGCUGCUGCUGUCCCCUUCAGUGGAUUAUGGAUAGCAAAUAUUGGAGGUGGCGUAGACCACCGGUUUCGAGAUCAUUUUCUCAUCGUUGCAGGGAGGAACGCACGAAAGAUGGCGCCUCGUUCGUCUCCCUUGGAUUUGAGUCUGACAAAACACAGCUGCAGCGCGUGCGGCGAGGAGCCUGUGGGCGGGAGACCUUCUCACGGCCGCCGCUAGAGCGAGCGCGGAGCAGCGCUUCGCGGACUGGCCACUAGAGGGGGACUGCGAACGCACUCAAAUAGUUAGGAAACAUAUAUUCUAGCAAGUAAAAUAUUCGAAUAAAUAUUUUCAUUUACAAAUAAAUUAAUGAUUCAAAUAUUAUUUUGAUCAUUUCCCGUUUCAUAUAAAUUAUUACCACUUUAAUUAUGCCCAUGAUUCUAGGUCUAUGUAAAUUUUCUAUAAAUAACUUGUGUAGGCAUACUGCCUGUUAUCACUGAUCAUCGUAGUUUCCUUUUUCUUAUUUAUAGGCACUGAAAUUGUUUAUUAUACUUUGUCACUCAUCGUAAAAAAAUUAAAUAAUAAUAAUAAAAGCUAGUAUUAAAGUUAAAAUUCUCUUUCUAUAGAUAGAUAGAUAGAUAGAUAGUUAAUAAUUUUCCUUUAUUUUGUUGUUUGUUCGUGUUCCUGCUGGCUCUUGUAAAACUGCGCCAUCUUCUGUUUGAUUGGAGCCUUUCAUUUAUGUCUUAUGUUAUGACGAAGUCAAAAAUAAAGGGAUAGUACAUGAAUUAAAAUGUUGUUAUAUAUUCACCAGCCUGUUUACAACAAAAAUGUAAGACUAGAGAGGAUAUGAAAAUUAUAUGGAAUAUGGAAAAUAUGUUUUACACACACACACACACACACACACACACACACACACACACACACACACACACACACACACACACAGAGAGUACUUACUUUAAUUACUACACACACACACACACACACACACACACACACACACACACACACACACACACAGACACACAGAGAGACUCUUUUAAAUGGAUAGGAAUUAAUAAACAUUAGUUUACAUUUACAUUUCAUUUACAUAUCAUUUAGCAGACGCUUUUAUCCAAAGCGACUUACAAAUGAAAGUUUAAAAUCAUGAAUGGAUAUUUACAGCAGACAUGCUGGAUCUUGAUUCACGUUAUUCUGAAGCAGAAACAUCACAGAUAUCUUGUAUUAUUUAUACCCAAAUAAAUGCAAUAUGUAGCUUUCAAGAAGGAACAUUCCACUCUAUUCUAAGUCACCUUUACUAUAUGAUUCCUGCCCUCUCUGACACUCUUUGCAGCCUGUUUCUCCUCCCUCUCUUCCUCCUCCUUCCCGCACAGCCUGGGAAGUAAUCCUAUAUAUAUUAGUUCACCCUCUGCUUCCUCAAAGGCUCUUCUCAGCUCUCUGAAAUUGUGUCACACAAACAAAGAAAAAUGCCUGAAGAAGUUCCUGCUCAGUGCAAGGCUCCCAAAGAUGAGCUGGACAAAUGGUGAGUCAAAUUUCAGUAGGGAUACACAUUAAUGCAACACUGAAUUUUGAAUACUUUAAAUGUCUUGUGCUUUAAAAACAAACAAACAAACAAAAAAAAAACUUACAUGCUUUGUAGCUCAGCAUUGUUCUUGUUCAUACACCAAUAUCAUAACACCUCCCUGUAGGUCAUCUGUAGUGGUUUGUGAAAGAACAUUUUUGAAAGACUAGUUAAAACAUGUGUCUGAUUCAGUAUUGAGCACAUGGUGCUGAGG
rnacentral:lncRNA from 1 species